GCCUGAUGAAGAUGAUGGAGCUUGUGUGGGUGUCGGAUCGACGCUCAUCUCUGAUGGCUGUGAGGAGUGUCGGGUUGAACUCCUUGUACCAAUGUUCUUAAGAGCCUUCCCUGCAUUUUUCACCUUCUUAAACAUCCUGCAAACAAAAGUUGGCAAAAACACAACUGGUGGAAAAUGUGAGAUAAAAUGUUAGUGGUAAGCUGUCCGGGGUGUUAGUAGUCCAGGGGUUAAUUGUUCAAGACAAGUUUCUAUUUUGGUAGAGCCUCCCACUAAACAACUUUUACUUCCGCUUAGACAACGGGAUCACUACUUGCUAGGUGACAAUCACUCUCUCAAAAGAACUCCAACCUUCCCUUCCACUAUCCUCUUUCUCUCUACUCUCUUCUCUUCACUACAAGAACUCCUUCUCGGGAAACUGAGAUUUGUGUGGUUU
rnacentral:lncRNA from 1 species